rnacentral:rRNA from 1 species
GAUGAACGCUGGCGGCGUGCCUAAUACAUGCAAGUCGAGCGAACAGACGAGGAGCUUGCUCCUCUGACGUUAGCGGCGGACGGGUGAGUAACACGUGGAUAACCUACCUAUAAGACUGGGAUAACUUCGGGAAACCGGAGCUAAUACCGGAUAAUAUAUUGAACCGCAUGGUUCAAUAGUGAAAGACGGUUUUGCUGUCCCUUAUAGAUGGAUCCGCGCCGCAUUAGCUAGUUGGUAAGGUAACGGCUUACCAAGGCAACGAUGCGUAGCCGACCUGAGAGGGUGAUCGGCCACACUGGAACUGAGACACGGUCCAGACUCCUACGGGAGGCAGCAGUAGGGAAUCUUCCGCAAUGGGCGAAAGCCUGACGGAGCAACGCCGCGUGAGUGAUGAAGGUCGUCGGAUCGUAAAACUCUGUUAUUAGGGAAGAACAAAUGUGUAAGUAACUAUGCACGUCUUGACGGUACCUAAUCAGAAAGCCACGGCUAACUACGUG